AUGGCGACCGGCGCACGGGUGAGUAACGCGUAUCCAACCUGCCCUUUACUCCGGGAUAGUCUCCUGAAAGGGAGUUUAAUACCGGAUGUGUUUGUCUUUCCGCAUGGGAGCGACAAAUAAAGAUUAAUUGGUAAAGGAUGGGGAUGCGUCCCAUUAGCUUGUUGGCGGGGUAACGGCCCACCAAGGCGACGAUGGGUAGGGGUUCUGAGAGGAAGGUCCCCCACAUUGGAACUGAGACACGGUCCAAACUCCUACGGGAGGCAGCAGUGAGGAAUAUUGGUCAAUGGGCGGGAGCCUGAACCAGCCAAGUAGCGUGAAGGACGACGGCCCUACGGGUUGUAAACUUCUUUUAUAAGGGAAUAAAGUUCGCCACGUGUGGUGUUUUGUAUGUACCUUAUGAAUAAGCAUCGGCUAAUUCCGUGCCAGCAGCCGCGGUAAUACGGAAGAUGCGAGCGUUAUCCGGAUUUAUUGGGUUUAAAGGGAGCGUAGGCGGGCUUUUAAGUCAGCGGUCAAAUGUCGUGGCUCAACCGUCAAGCCGUUGAAACUGUAAGCCUUGAGUCUGCACAGGGCACAUGGAAUUCGUGGUGUAGCGGUGAAAUGCUUAGAUAUCACGAAGAACUCCGAUCGCGAAGGCAUUGUGCCGGGGCAUAACUGACGCUGAGGCUCGAAAGUGCGGGUAUCAAACAGGAUUAGAUACCCUGGUAGUCCGCACGGUAAACGAUGAAUGCUCGCUAUGGGCGAUAUAUUGUCCGUGGCCAAGCGAAAGCGUUAAGCAUCCCACCUGGGGAGUACGCCGGCAACGGUGAAACUCAAAGGAAUUGACGGGGGCCCGCACAAGCGGAGGAACAUGUGGUUUAAUUCGAUGAUACGCGAGGAACCUUACCCGGGCUUGAAUUGCAGGUGCAUGAGUCAGAGAUGAUUCUUUCCUUCGGGACUCCUGUGAAGGUGCUGCAUGGUUGUCGUCAGCUCGUGCCGUGAGGUGUCGGCUUAAGUGCCAUAACGAGCGCAACCCUUCUCCCCAGUUGCCAUCGGGUAAUGCCGGGCCCUCUGGGGACACUGCCAUCGUAAGAUGCGAGGAAGGUGGGGAUGACGUCAAAUCAGCACGGCCCUUAC
rnacentral:rRNA from 1 species